GACAGAGGUGCAAACGUUGUUCGGAAUUACUGGGCGUAAAGCGAGUGUAGGCGGUGUGGUAAGUCGGAUGUGAAAGCCCCGGCUCAACCCGGGAAGUGCACUCGAUACUGCCACGCUAGAGUAUCGGAGAGGUUGGUGGAAUUCUCGGUGUAGAGGUGAAAUUCGUAGAUAUCGAGAGGAACACCGGUGGCGAAGGCGGCCAACUGGACGAAUACUGACGCUGAGACUCGAAAGCGUGGGGGAGCAAACAGG
rnacentral:rRNA from 1 species